GAGGGACUUUGUGCACCUUGUUUGCUCUCUGGGAAUGCUGCUACGGACAUAUGGAGUAAGAGACACCACACAGAGGAGAGAUGAAGUGGCCUACAGACAUCACCUGGAACAGCCAGCCCACAGCUAAGCCAGCAGUGUGCAGCAUAGAAGCCCAUAUAUUUCUCCAGGCAUAACCACAUGUGUGACAACACUCUCCAGAAGCAGAAGUGAAUUCCUCUUACAAUACAUCCAAGGAGCGUUGACUGAGGGAGAUUUCACUUUCUGUGGACCGCAGCCAUCUCUUCAGUUUCUCCCUGUUACUGAAAUCUCAUUGUUACACUCAGAAUCUGUCUUCUCCCGGGGCUUACUUUCAAAGCAUUUCACUGCCUGUGACAAGACAGACUGGAGACGAUGCUGGGAGGCUGGGGAAGGUGGCAUGCUGAAGAAAAAUGCAAGCGCCGCAGGAAGACUUCACUUCCAACUACCACUGCAGGGCCAUAGGACUGAUUCUGGACAAUGGAACGAGG
rnacentral:lncRNA from 1 species